AUUGAACGCUGGCGGCAGGCCUAACACAUGCAAGUCGAACGGUUGAGGGGGGCUUGCUCCUGGAUUCAGCGGCGGACGGGUGAGUAAUGCCUAUGAAUCUGCCUGGUGGUGGGGGAUAACGUCCGGUAACGGGGGUUAAUACUGCAUACGGCCUGAGGGAGAAAGAGGGGGAUCUUCGGACCUGAGGCUAUCAGAUGAUACUAGGUCGGAUUAGCUAGUUGGUGGGGGUAAGGCAUAUCACGGCGAAGAACCGCAACUGGUCUGAGAGGAUGAUCAGUCACUGUGGAAGUGAGACACGGCACAGACCCCUACGGGAGGCAGCAGUGGGGACUAUGGGAAAAUGGGCGAGAGCCUGAUCCAGCCAUGCCGCGUGUGUGAAGAAGGUCUUCGGCUUGUAAAGCACUUUAAGGUGGGAGGAAGGGCAGUAAGUUAAUACCUUGCUGUUUUGACGUUACCAACAGAAUAAGCACCGGCUAACUUCGU
rnacentral:rRNA from 1 species